GCCAAUGUGGCCUAGUGGUUAGAGCACUGGACUAGCACUUUGGGGAUCAGGGUUCGAAUCCUUGCUCAGCCA